CACUUCAAUCUUAAUCUCCGAUCGGCAGUGUGCUGGCUCAGUGGCCGUCGCCUUCGACCAUGAGGAUCCUUCGGGCGAGAAGCUACAUGCGCCGUCGAAAUAGGCAGUGAACUUAUCGUUGCUCCGGUCGAGCUUGUAGCCGGUGACUGGAUGACGUCGUAGGGCCACCGGGAAUCGUCAUCGGCGGUGGCUCUGAAGAACGGUGAUUGUUCUGGUUUGAAUUAGCAAUUCCGACCGGAGCUCUGCAAAAAAUGAUUCUAAUCAAUGAUGAGAAGAUUUGGAGUUUUGAAUUGGCACUGAUAGGUCUUCCUUUCCGAGUUGAAAUCAAGAGGAAACUGGCUCAAAGAACAGAGAGAGUAAAAUCUAGGGAUCUACAUCCAACGGAAAAUUGGUUGAAGACUGCCUAAUAUCAUUUGUAUUUUGUAGAUCAUGAAAUUGUUGCAAAUGCUUGACUUAGCAUUUUGUUUUUCUAUUUUGCCUAUUUUUACCAUACCAGCAUAUAUGAGUAUCAUGCAUAUGUAAGCGUUUAUGUGUGCUGAAGAAAGGAGAGCUUCAUAUCAUUUUUA